rnacentral:rRNA from 1 species
UACAGAGGUCUCAAGCGUUGUUCGGAUUCAUUGGGCGUAAAGGGUGCGUAGGUGGCGCGGUAAGUCGGGUGUGAAAUUCGGAGCUUAACUCCGAACUGCAUUCGAUACUGCCGUGCUUGAGGACUGGAGAGGAGACUGGAAUUUACGGUGUAGCAGUGAAAUGCGUAGAGAUCGUAAGGAAGACCAGUGGCGAAGGCGGGUCUCUGGACAGUUCCUGACACUGAGGCACGAAGACCAGGGGAGCAAACGGG